GAAGGAAUGACCCGUAGACGCCAAAAUCAAAAUGGAUAAAUUAGUGGUUCAAGGCUUCCUUCUUGAAACAUAGACAAUAAACUUGAAGAGGGAUGAUCAAAUGAGGAGUCCUUGUUCCCACUUUGUCUUGGACAUUUAAACUUCAUUAUGUAAGGGACCAAACGAAAAAACUUCACUUUCCUUGGCUCGUUUCCUUCUCAAACUAGCUUAAUCAUUGUCAAAGAUGUCUCGGGGCUCUUAUUAUUCGGCUCGAGGUAGGUGGACUUGCUUGGGAGGAACCAGAAGCUUCCAGAUUUCAAGGUCUUGCUAUCCAACUUUCAACCUCUCUAUCAAACUAGUUUCUUCUCAACCCUAAAUCCCACCCUAGAUGGCUAGAGCUGCAGCAAUCUUAAUCAAAGAAAGCUUUUUUUAGUAGGCCAGCCAGAGGUGAGGGAAGGGAAGCCCACUCCCAACUAGCUAGAACGAUGGGUUGUACCAUAGUCUUCCCCACCCACCUUCAAAA